AGUGAACGCUGGCGGUAGGCCUAACACAUGCAAGUCGAACGGCAGCACAGUAAGAGCUUGCUCUUACGGGUGGCGAGUGGCGGACGGGUGAGGAAUACAUCGGAAUCUACUUUUUCGUGGGGGAUAACGUAGGGAAACUUACGCUAAUACCGCAUACGACCUACGGGUGAAAGCAGGGGAUCUUCGGACCUUGCGCGAUUGGAUGAGCCGAUGUCGGAUUAGCUAGUUGGCGGGGUAAAGGCCCACCAAGGCGACGAUCCGUAGCUGGUCUGAGAGGAUGAUCAGCCACACUGGAACUGAGACACGGUCCAGACUCCUACGGGAGGCAGCAGUGGGGAAUAUUGGACAAUGGGCGCAAGCCUGAUCCAGCCAUACCGCGUGGGUGAAGAAGGCCUUCGGGUUGUAAAGCCCUUUUGUUGGGAAAGAAAAGCAGCAGGUUAAUACCCCGCUGUUCUGACGGUGCCCAAAGAAUAAGCACCGGCUAACUUCGUG
rnacentral:rRNA from 1 species